GUACGCUUCUUUUUCCACCGGAGCUUGCUCCACCGGAAAAAGAAGAGUGGCGAACGGGUGAGUAACACGUGGGUAACCUGCCCAUCAGAAGGGGAUAACACUUGGAAACAGGUGCUAAUACCGUAUAACAAUCGAAACCGCAUGGUUUUGAUUUGAAAGGCGCUUUCGGGUGUCGCUGAUGGAUGGACCCGCGGUGCAUUAGCUAGUUGGUGAGGUAACGGCUCACCAAGGCCACGAUGCAUAGCCGACCUGAGAGGGUGAUCGGCCACAUUGGGACUGAGACACGGCCCAAACUCCUACGGGAGGCAGCAGUAGGGAAUCUUCGGCAAUGGACGAAAGUCUGACCGAGCAACGCCGCGUGAGUGAAGAAGGUUUUCGGAUCGUAAAACUCUGUUGUUAGAGAAGAACAAGGAUGAGAGUAACUGUUCAUCCCUUGACGGUAUCUAACCAGAAAGCCACGGCUAACUACGUGCCAGCAGCCGCGGUAAUACGUAGGUGGCAAGCGUUGUCCGGAUUUAUUGGGCGUAAAGCGAGCGCAGGCGGUUUCUUAAGUCUGAUGUGAAAGCCCCCGGCUCAACCGGGGAGGGUCAUUGGAAACUGGGAGACUUGAGUGCAGAAGAGGAGAGUGGAAUUCCAUGUGUAGCGGUGAAAUGCGUAGAUAUAUGGAGGAACACCAGUGGCGAAGGCGGCUCUCUGGUCUGUAACUGACGCUGANGCUCGAAAGCGUGGGGAGCAAACAGGAUUAGAUACCCUGGUAGUCCACGCCGUAAACGAUGAGUGCUAAGUGUUGGAGGGUUUCCGCCCUUCAGUGCUGCAGCUAACGCAUUAAGCACUCCGCCUGGGGAGUACGACCGCAAGGUUGAAACUCAAAGGAAUUGANGGGGCCCGCACAAGCGGUGGAGCAUGUGGUUUAAUUCGAAGCAACGCGANNAACCUUACCNNUCUUGACAUCCUUUGACCACNUCUAGAGAUAGAGCUUCCCCUUCGGGGCAAGUGAC
rnacentral:rRNA from 1 species